rnacentral:rRNA from 1 species
UACAGAGGGUGCGAGCGUUAAUCGGAAUUACUGGGCGUAAAGCGCGCGUAGGCGGCUUUGCAAGUCGGGUGUGAAAUCCCCAGGCUUAACCUGGGAACUGCAUUCGAGACUGCAUUGCUAGAGUAUGGGAGAGGGAAGUGGAAUUUCCGGUGUAGCGGUGAAAUGCGUAGAUAUUGGGAGGAACACCAGUGGCGAAGGCGGCUCACUGGACCGGUUCUGACGCUGAGGCGCGAAAGCGUGGGGAGCAAACGGG